rnacentral:lncRNA from 1 species
UCAAGAGUAGAGGAGGCAACAGUGGUGCUGAUUAAUCUAAUUAUAUAUACUGAACAGUAAAGCUACUUUCUAGAAACAUUUAGAUGAUAAAAAAGAAACUUCUGAUACUUAAGGAAAGCUAGAUGGUCUUUUGAUAGGUCACUGUAAUCUGUGGAUUUAACUUCUACUAUUUAUCUAAAUUGCACAUAUAAAAGAAUAACAGAAACAUGCCCAGUGAAGAAAAUGUUGAAUUGUCUUAAAGGGAAG